rnacentral:rRNA from 1 species
UACAGAGGUCCCAAGCGUUGCUCGGAAUCACUGGGCGUAAAGGGUGCGUAGGCGGGUUCUUAAGUCAGAGGUGAAAUCCUGGAGCUCAACUCCAGAACUGCCUUUGAUACUGAGAGUCUUGAGUUCGAGAGAGGUGAGUGGAACUGCGAGUGUAGAGGUGAAAUUCGUAGAUAUUCGCAAGAACACCAGUGGCGAAGGCGGCUCACUGGCUCGAUACUGACGCUGAGGAGCGAAAGCGUGGGGAGCAAACAGG